GGGCCCAUAGCUCAGUAGGUUAGAGCGGCUGACUCAUAAUCAGUAGGUGCAAGGUUCGAUUCCUUGUGGGCCCA
rnacentral:tRNA from 1 species